rnacentral:rRNA from 1 species
AGCACUCUUUUACUGUGAAACUGCGAAUGGCUCAUUAAAUCAGUUAUCGUUUAUUUGAUAGUACCCUACUACAUGGAUACCUGUGGUAAUUCUAGAGCUAAUACAUGCGCAAAACCCCGACUUCGGAAGGGGUGUAUUUAUUAGAUAAAAAACCAAUGCCCUUCGGGGCUCCUUGGUGAUUCAUAAUAACUUCACGAAUCGCAUGGCCUUGCGCCGGCGAUGGUUCAUUCAAAUUUCUGCCCUAUCAACUUUCGAUGGUAGGAUAGUGGCCUACCAUGGUGGCAACGGGUAACGGGGAAUUAGGGUUCGAUUCCGGAGAGGGAGCCUGAGAAACGGCUACCACAUCCAAGGAAGGCAGCAGGCGCGCAAAUUACCCAAUCCCGAUACGGGGAGGUAGUGACAAUAAAUACUGAUACAGGGCUCUUUUGGGUCUUGUAAUUGGAAUGAGAACAAUCUAAAUCCCUUAACGAGGAACAAUUGGAGGGCAAGUCUGGUGCCAGCAGCCGCGGUAAUUCCAGCUCCAAUAGCGUAUAUUAAAGUUGUUGCAGUUAAAAAGCUCGUAGUUGAACCUUGGGCCCGUCCUGCCGGUCCGCCUCACCGCGAGUACUGGUCCGGAUGGGCCUUUCUUUCUGGGGAAUCCCAUGGCCUUCACUGGCUGUGGCGGGGAACCAGGACUUUUACUGUGAAAAAAUUAGAGUGUUCAAAGCAGGCCUUUGCUCGGAUACAUUAGCAUGGAAUAAUAGAAUAGGACGUGCGGUUCUAUUUUGUUGGUUUCUAGGACCGCCGUAAUGAUUAAUAGGGAUAGUCGGGGGCGUCAGUAUUCAGCUGUCAGAGGUGAAAUUCUUGGAUUUGCUGAAGACUAACUACUGCGAAAGCAUUCGCCAAGGAUGUUUUCAUUAAUCAGGGAACGAAAGUUAGGGGAUCGAAGACGAUCAGAUACCGUCGUAGUCUUAACCAUAAACUAUGCCGACUAGGGAUCGGGCGGGGUUUCUAUGAUGACCCGCUCGGCACCUUAC